AAGCAAGUGAAAAUCAAUGUGGAACAGAGUAUUAUUACGAAAAUAGUUUUGACCCCCUGAAAGGGUCUUGAGGCCCCCCCGGGAUUUGGAGACCACACUAAAAACCAAAGCAAUAAAUUACAGCAUUAAAAACUGCUACUGCAGUAUGUGGAGGGAAAGAAGGGUUUAAAUUAGAUGUAUAGUUGGAGCUCAACUAUGUUGAAUCUUUUUUUUUUAAGGCUGGAUGAAAAUAUACCAAAAAGUCUGCAGUCAUUGCCUCUGGGCGGAGAGAAAAUGGGUAAUUUGUUUCUUCUUUAUACCUUUCUGUUCUUUCCAGAUUGCAUUUCUUUUAUGGUCAAAAACAACAUUUCUUUUUUGAGGAAAGGUUGAGGAAGCUGUGGCGUACCCAUGCCCUGCGGAAUAAGCCGGAUGGGAAGAAGGUCAUUUUAAAUCAUGAAUAGCCAGCGUCAGUGUGGGAGAGCAUCACGAAACUGGCUGCCGGGGACCGCGGCGCUGCUCCUUAAUAUGCCCAUCGAUCCCUGGCACCACGCACACAUUCAUCAUGGUGGCGCAGGGCCUGCCUCGGACCCACUGACGAGAAUUGAAACUGGCUCAAGCUAAUCACUACUAGAUGAAGGUCAAAUAUAGGUGAGGAUUUAUCAGUUCUCAGGGUGGGGGAGGACAAGCCAUGCUCUAGAGCCACGGACAAUUACAAAGGGAAAGGGCCAGAGACUUGACGGCGAAAAAUGUCAGGUUUUCUCUGUUAAAAAAAAUACAUGAAAUACCAAAACUCAACAUCACACAACACCCUUGGGGGAGAAGAAGGUGAAAUAUGAUGAAAGGUCAAUAUUGUUAGUAUGUAAAUUGCCCAGAUAAGAGAAACGCUAAGACUACAGGAGAUGAAUGGACAAGAACCAGGAUAACAAAUGCUUGUUUAGAAUGAACGAAGUGCCGGGCCCGUUCUAAAAGAGCUGUACGUAAAUGAACUCACUUGGUUCUCAAACAAGACACCAUUAAAUUAGCAGACAUUUUCAAAAGGUAAUAAUUCUGCCGCUGUGGAGGGUGAGAAGACACAGCCACUUUUACACAUAAAUGAUGGUGUGUGUCAGACACUGAGCGCUACACAGCCCCCAAAAAGAGCGGCACAGAUCUGCACACUGGUGGGAAAAGACAUGCUGGACAGUGAGAAAACCAAGCUGGAGGACAGGAUGGAGAGUGCAGUCUGCACACUAAACACAGAGACCUUGACCCUCUUCCCCAGCUCAGAUGCCGGAAGGCUGGCAGCAGGCCAAGAGCCCACCCAGAGAAGACACCUCCCUGAGAAGCUGACCAGGCUCAAGGAAAUACAUAAAAAUAAUCACAAGUGGGUUCCUAUGAUGAGCGCCAGCCUGCUGCCUCAUAACCCUACAUCCGGCCCACUGCAAACAAAGUCCCUUUGUCCCCACACAAGGGCGCGUGCAUGCACACACACACACACACACACACACACACACACACACACAGACACAGCUUUUGGUCAGGUCAGCUUUUUAGGUCCUCCCUCUCUAAUUGGAAUGAGCAGCAGGAAAUCUCUAACAUGGAACACAGACACCAAAACAAAAAAAGACCAAAGGAGAUAAGAAAGAGACAAACAUUUCAGAAAACAGGAAAACUUUCAAAGAACUCAAAGAGCUAAGAAAAGACCUUGUAAAUAUACAAUAAAAAACAAUAUGCUAUAUUAAAAAAAGGAACAUUCAGAAAAUACGAAACAGCUCUUGGAAUGUAAAAACAUGACAGAACACUUCCCUGAAUAUAUAUUAUUCUUCAAUUUAAAAGUUUAAGACAGCAGAAGUACAAAUUCAAAAAAAGCAUUGAAAGACAGAUAAAGUGGAAGAAAUUCCCCAGAAAAAUAAAACAGAAAGGCCAAGAAAUAAAGAGGAGAAACCGAGACGCUCAAUCCAGGGACAUCCAGGAUGCCCAAGCAAUCAGAGUCGCAAAGUCAACGACCUUCAGCAGCAGCAGCCCCAGGGGGUGCCGCUCAUCUCUGUAUGGCCCUCGUUCUAUGGGGGGGCCGAGCUCCCCAGUGCCCCAAUCCUGGCGAGGAAAGGCAGGCCUGGAACAGCCCCACAAGCCCUGGCAAAGCAGAGUUCUAGGGCGGCUUUGGUUGUAGGUUUCUAAAGCCCUUCUGGUCCUCCCUGCAUUUCAGCCAGUAUCACAGUAUUCCACGUAGAAGAUCAAGGUACGCUGUCCUCUGCCAAGUUCAGGAAACUUCAGGAAGCUUGCCAGAGGGGAAGCCAGGUGAAGGCAGGCUUCCAGGUAUCCUGGGCUGACACAGUUGGUCUCACUCACAUGUACCUUCUGACUGCCCCUCAGUGCUUCUGUCCCCCGGCUUGCUCCACUCCCCCCAGUAUAUGAGGGGUCUGCAUGAGAGCUGUGUUCAUCUGGGAGAAUAGACAAAAGAAAACACCUGACAAGAAACAGCAGAAGCUAGAAGGAAACCUUAAAAGGUUGGAAUGACUUACCUAACCCUUCUCUUAAGAGGAAAAAAUACUAACAAUCUGGGGGAGAAAUGACCACCCUAUGAUUUUAAAUGCAGGCUACAAAAACAAAGUACCUACCAUAUGAUUAAAACUAGUUGAUAUAUACAGGGAAAAAAGACUAGAAGGAAACGCUGCUUGCAAAAUGUUCAUGGUCAUUAGGCUUGAAUGAAGGGUCUAUGGUUUAUCUUUUAAUUUCUGCCAUUUUCUUGCAUUUUUUUCCAAAAUUUUACCACUUUUAUGAUAAAACAAAUUAAAUCUACAACAACUCAUUUGGACACAGGCCAUCACUGGGCAUUAGACAGGCACCUUUAAGAGUCUACUGUCUCCGAGUUUUAAAAGCAACAAGAAAUAAUUUACUAGACUGUCUCGACUCCUAAGUGCGCCAAUUUUGCAAUCUGCAUUUUUCAAUUACAUUAAAAGCAUUUUUCCAAAUUGCUCUAUCCUUCCCUUAAUGACAUAGGGUGAGAGUAAAUGAGGCUUGCUUCUCGAGGACAGAGGCUGCACCUUCACACGGCUGUUUUCUUCCUGUCAGCAUCUGGCGAGCACAAGGCCCUGCCCUUGGUACACUGAACUGUUUAAGUUAAAUGGAAUGAAGUUAUUAAAAAGCAGAAAACACAGCUUGGGUUCUGCUACACUUUCCUUUUCUUAUUCCUCUUCAACCCAAGGUUUUUUCUGUAAGAUACAAGAUUGUAAGGCAACUGGAACUGGGAAAUGUCUCAUUUGUUGGCCUCAGAAAUGUCGCGGCUUUCACACGGGGGAGGAGGAGUGUCAAAAAAACUUCACUUCCCACGAAGAGAAGAUUCCAGCUCAGAAUCUCAUGGCUGUUCCCAGAGGCUCGGCAGCCCUGCUGCCAACCAGUCUAAAGCCCCACACUCCCAAUCCUGGGGUAAUUCAGAUGAUUCUGAAAGUCCUCUGGAAGGUGGGAAAGAAGAGAAGCAAAUAUAGUGUCCAGGCUAGGAAGCAUCCAAACACCUAUUGUGUGUCCUCGGGCAAGUGUCUUCCCCUCUAUGGGCCUCUAUCAAAUGAACCAGAUGAACACUAUGCAUGCACGCACAUGCGCACACACACAUCACCCAUUCUCUCCUCACCUUCAUCUAAUUACCCUGGAUGCACUGUUAAUCAUUCACUCCCCAAAUACCAAAGGCCCACUAGCACCACCCAAACCUCCUUCCCAGCUGCGCCUCUCAUUGCCAAUAGAUUUGCCUCGUGCUUAGAAUAAAUUGCCAAUCAUC
rnacentral:lncRNA from 1 species